UUCUGGAGUAACUAUGACGCUCCAGACUACAGGAGAAAGAGAAGGUGAGGGUAUGGAGCCGCUCACUUGUUUUUAGUGUGGGGAUAUUUUUCAUAAGAGAAAGUGUUUCAAUUUGCUUUCAAUAACUGUUUUAGAAAUGCAAAGCAAAGGUACAUUGGUCAUAGAGGAGCACUUUCAUUCAACCAAAGGCUCUUUUGUGGGCACUGGCAAUACAAAGAUGAAGAGAAAAAUUUGUCCUCACAGCCUCAUGUUGAGAGAUGUAGAAGCUACACAGGACACAUGUGGAGCAAGGCUUCCAAGGAAGCAAAGAUGAGCCUGCCACCCCCGCUGCCUUAGAUGGUGACCUUCUCUGGAUGAGAAAAGCAAGGUUCAUGGAGUCUCAUCUAUAAGUAUGCUAGAUCCAGUGUUUAAGCUCAGAUUCAACUCAACCUUAGGUCUUUAUCAGACUAUUAACAGCAGGAAAAGAUUUGCUGAGAUGACAGCUAACUAAUCCUUCUUAUUUAUAAAGGACAAAACCAAGAAUACAAUAAUCAGUGAAAGAACAACUACAACAAAGUAACCACAGUGAAUCCAAAUGUAAAGGAUGCUUAUUCAACACCACGAUGAAACAGCAGCCACAGCGGAACCUGUCUGCCCACCUUCCAACAGUAUUUAUCUAUCCUCUUGGCAAAACACAUUCAAUUUCAGAAAAUAAAUAGAU